rnacentral:rRNA from 1 species
UACGUAGGGUGCGAGCGUUGUCCGGAAUUACUGGGCGUAAAGAGCUCGUAGGUGGUUUGUCGCGUCGUUUGUGUAAGUCCACGGCUUAACUGUGGGAUGGCAGGCGAUACGGGCAUAACUUGAGUGCUGUAGGGGAGACUGGAAUUCCUGGUGUAGCGGUGAAAUGCGCAGAUAUCAGGAGGAACACCGGUGGCGAAGGCGGGUCUCUGGGCCGUAACUGACGCUGAGGAGCGAAAGCAUGGGGAGCGAACAGG